rnacentral:rRNA from 1 species
UGAGGAAUAUUGGUCAAUGGGCGCAGGCCUGGACCAGCCAAGUCGCGUGAGGGAUGACGGUCCUACGGAUUGUAAACCUCUUUUGUCGGGGAGUAACGUGCGGGACGCGUCCCGUAUUGAGAGUACCCGAAGAAAAAGCAUCGGCUAACUCCGUGCCAGCAGCCGCGGUAAUACGGAGGAUGCGAGCGUUAUCCGGAUUUAUUGGGUUUAAAGGGUGCGUAGGUGGUUUGUUAAGUUUGUGGUGAAAGCGUGCGGCUCAACCGUACCAAGCCAUGAAAACUGGCGAACUUGAGUGCAAACGAGGUAGGCGGAAUGUGAUGUGUAGCGGUGAAAUGCUUAGAUAUGUCACAGAACCCCGAUUGCGAAGGCAGCUUACCAGCAUGCAACUGACACUGAGGCACGAAAGCGUGGGUAUCAAACAGGAUUAGAUACCCUGGUAGU